rnacentral:rRNA from 1 species
AUUGAACGCUGGCGGCAUGCCUUACACAUGCAAGUCGAACGGUAACAGGUCUUCGGAUGCUGACGAGUGGCGAACGGGUGAGUAAUACAUCGGAACGUGCCUAGUAGUGGGGGAUAACUACUCGAAAGAGUGGCUAAUACCGCAUGAGAUCUACGGAUGAAAGCAGGGGAUCGCAAGACCUUGUGCUACUAGAGCGGCCGAUGGCCGAUUAGGUAGUUGGUGGGAUAAAAGCUUACCAAGCCGACGAUCUGUAGCUGGUCUGAGAGGACGAUCGGCCACACUGGGACUGAGACACGGCCCAGACUCCUACGGGGGGCAGCAGUGGGUAAUUUUGGACAAUGGGCGCAAGCCUGAUCCAGCAAUGCCGCGUGCAGGAUGAAGGCCUUCGGGUUGUAAACUGCUUUUGUACGGAACGAAAAGCCCUGGGUUAAUACCCUGGGGUCAUGACGGUACCGUAAGAAUAAGCACCGGCUAACUACGUGCCAGCCGCCGCCGUAACAC